AUUGAACGCUGGCGGCAUGCCUUACACAUGCAAGUCGAACGGUAACAGGUCUUCGGUUGCUGACGAGUGGCGAACGGGUGAGUAAUACAUCGGAACGUGCCCGAUCGUGGGGGAUAACGGAGCGAAAGCUUUGCUAAUACCGCAUACGAUCUACGGAUGAAAGCCGGGGACCGCAAGGCCUUGCGCGGGCGGAGCGGCCGAUGGCAGAUUAGGUAGUUGGUGGGAUAAAAGCUUACCAAGCCGACGAUCUGUAGCUGGUCUGAGAGGACGACCAGCCACACUGGGACUGAGACACGGCCCAGACUCCUACGGGAGGCAGCAGUGGGGAAUUUUGGACAAUGGGCGAAAGCCUGAUCCAGCCAUGCCGCGUGCAGGAUGAAGGCCUUCGGGUUGUAAACUGCUUUUGUACGGAACGAAAAGACUCUUUCUAAUAAAGAGGGUCCAUGACGGUACCGUAAGAAUAAGCACCGGCUAACUACGUG
rnacentral:rRNA from 1 species